GACGAACGCUGGCGGCGUGCUUAACACAUGCAAGUCGAACGGAAAGGCCCUGCUUUUGUGGGGUGCUCGAGUGGCGAAAGGGUGAGUAACACGUGAGUAACCUGCCCUUGACUUUGGGAUAACUUCAGGAAACUGGGGCUAAUACCGGAUAGGAGCUCCUGCUGCAUGGUGGGGGUUGGAAAGUUUCGGCGGUUGGGGAUGGACUGGCGGCUUAUCAGCUUGUUGGUGGGGUAGUGGCUUACCAAGGCUUUGACGGGUAGCCGGCCUGAGAGGGUGACCGGCCACAUUGGGACUGAGAUACGGCCCAGACUCCUACGGGAGGCAGCAGUGGGGAAUAUUGCACAAUGGGCGGAAGCCUGAUGCAGCAACGCCGCGUGCGGGAUGACGGCCUUCGGGUUGUAAACCGCUUUCGCCUGUGACGAAGCGUGAGUGACGGUAAUGGGUAAAGAAGCACCGGCUAACUACGUG
rnacentral:rRNA from 1 species